rnacentral:rRNA from 1 species
UAAGGAAUAUUGGUCAAUGGGCGGAAGCCUGAACCAGCCAUGCCGCGUGCAGGAAGACGGCCCUACGGGUUGUAAACUGCUUUUAUACCGGAAUAAACCUUCUUUCGUGAAAGAAGCUGAAUGUACGGUAAGAAUAAGGAUCGGCUAACUCCGUGCCAGCAGCCGCGGUAAUACGGAGGAUCCAAGCGUUAUCCGGAUUUAUUGGGUUUAAAGGGUGCGUAGGUGGCCUGUUAAGUCAGGGGUGAAAGACGGUAGCUCAACUAUCGCAGUGCCCUUGAUACUGACGGGCUUGAAUGAACUAGAGGUAGGCGGAAUGUGACAAGUAGCGGUGAAAUGCAUAGAUAUGUCACAGAACACCAAUUGCGAAGGCAGCUUACUAUGGUUUGAUUGACACUGAGGCACGAAAGCGUGGGGAUCAAACA